UACGAAGGGGGCUAGCGUUGUUCGGAAUCACUGGGCGUAAAGCGCUCGUAGGCGGAUCUUUAAGUCAGGGGUGAAAUCCCGAGGCUCAACCUCGGAACUGCCUUUGAUACUGGGGAUCUCGAGUCCGGGAGAGGUGAGUGGAAUUGCGAGUGUAGAGGUGAAAUUCGUAGAUAUUCGCAAGAACACCAGUGGCGAAGGCGGCUCACUGGCCCGGUACUGACGCUGAGGAGCGAAAGCGUGGGGAGCAAACAGG
rnacentral:rRNA from 1 species